rnacentral:rRNA from 2 species
ACGGGAGGCAGCAGUGGGGAAUAUUGCACAAUGGGCGCAAGCCUGAUGCAGCAACGCCGCGUGAGGGAAGACGGUCUUCGGAUUGUAAACCUUUGUCUUUGGUGAAGAAGAAAGUGACGGUAGCCAAGGAGGAAGCCACGGCUAACUACGUGCCAGCAGCCGCGGUAAUACGUAGGUGGCAAGCGUUAUCCGGAUUUACUGGGUGUAAAGGGCGCGUAGGCGGGGAUGCAAGUCAGGUGUGAAAUCUAUGGGCUUAACCCAUAAACUGCAUUUGAAACUGUAUCUCUUGAGUGUCGGAGAGGUAGAUGGAAUUCCUAGUGUAGCGGUGAAAUGCGUAGAUAUUAGGAGGAACACCAGUGGCGAAGGCGAUCUACUGGACGAUAACUGACGCUGAGGCGCGAAAGCGUGGGGAGCAAACAGGAUUAGAUACCCUGGUA